CCGCCCGCCCCCCGAUCACGGGCUUCGGCCACGCCCUCUUCCGGUCACGUGACGGUGCGCGGAGGCGGCGGUGGAGUUGCUUCCCCUGCUAGGCGGGCUCGAACCGGGCGGGAGUCACUGUCCACCUUGCUUCGCCAGGGUGUUAUCGCCAGCCAGUCCCCUUCCGCAUGACCAAGGGCAGCCUCAGGAAGCGAGCCCACCACCGUCGGCCCGGCGCCUGUUGAUCGGCCAGGCCUUCUGGGCCGGUCGUACCGGGCCCUUCCUAACCUGAGGAGAUUGCAUAGUAGGGCUCCCUGGUCUGGUCAGGGCUCAGUUAGGACCCCUCUCCAGCCUUAGGCUUGGUGAAAGCUUUAGCGAAACAGAAAAAAGAACGCAUCGUGGUGUAGAGUGUAUGGCCUAAGAAGCAUUCGCUCCACUCAAAAAAAAGAAAGUCCUAAUGCAAGUAAUCGAAAGUGAAGAUGUUGCAAAACAAAUAAUGACAGCUGAAUUGAUGAUAUGAUGACAGGCUCAUCCCUCCAUUGUAAACUAUGUUUCUUCAUCUGUAAAUGAAAGCAUAGGAAGACUUUUAAAAAGUCUUUCCUAUUCCUAUACCCACUAAAAGGAACUGAAAGAAGCUAAUUAUAGAAGGAAACUGUCUACAGUGAAACUAAGAAAGGCUCUAACCUCAUGCUACUAACUCAUCAACAUCAUCCACAAAGAUGAUCAUCCACAAAGAACAUCACGUGAAGUGACCUAAAAGAGAAGCAGCGUUCUGAUGCAGGACUCUCUUGCUCCUGGACACAAUGAAAACUAGAGAUAAAACUGAAGCACUUCUAAUUCUAUCCAGUUUAGAGGAACGAAGCCUUCAAAGAAAGGGUGGGCGUCAGGAAAGACAGCAAACAUUCUACUUUGAAACAUUCCCCUGUUUAAAUUAUCUCCAAGAGGCUAUAUCUCCAGAAGUCCUACUUAGGUUGGAUUUGAGGAGAGAUAUUUGUUAGAAGGAGGGCCUUAAAGCUGAUUUUGCAAAGUACUUUACAUCAGACUGAGUGAAUGUCAAAGGUCAAUAUCAAAGAACUGGGGAGAGGGCACUAAUAAAAUUAUGGAGCCAACAGUCCCCAGGUACCCCCUGGCUCCGCCAUAGAUGGAAAUAAUGGGACAGGAGGAGGAAGCCUUCAACAAAGGAGAAACUGUUUUCUUCUUUGUAGAAACCACUUGGAGGGCAGUCAUUGGGAAAACUCUGAAAGGCCACUGAAGCCCCAAGCUCAAAUCAGCUGACAGCUGUGCAGCCCUUUGUGUCUCAGUGUCCCUAGUGUGACAAGACGAGGGGAACUUGAGGCCGCAGAAAUCCAGCAGUUAACCCAUCUCAUAGUGGGGAGGAGUGAGACCUACCAGAGGGAAUAGAAAUGUGUCAUGCCCAAUUAUUGAGGGAGCCCACAUCGGCUACAAACACAGGCCUUUCUUUAUAAUAAGAGCAGGGGAAAAUUCCCAGUAGACUGGAGAAAAAUGAAGAAUCAGGAAAGAGGUCAAGCCAGGCGAUCAGCAAAUGGCUUCCUGUGAAAUAGAUCUGGGGCAUCAAACAGCAGAGAACUGUAAACAAAAUGUUGAACUCUAAAUGAUCUCUAAAUCUCAUUCCAACUCUAAUAUCUCGAGGAUCGGUGCAAAAGAAAUCUUUAUCACAAAUCUUGAUACUUAUAGAAACACAGAUUUAAGUGGAAAAGAAUGAAGGUGGUAAGCGAGGACUUCAUGGUGAUUCUGAGGGGGGCUUUGAGUACUUGCAAACACUUUGGAUUCAAGGGUUUUGCUAUCAUUGAUUUUACCUGCAUUGUGAAGGCUCUCCUAGCAGGUUGCAGAGCUGUCCAAAGAGGAGCACAACUCACUCUCUGUGGCCUACAAAAACAUUUUUGAAGGCUACAGGUCCACCUGGAGGGUCUCUUGAGCAUUGAGCAGAAAAACCAACACCUCUGACAAGAAGUUGCAGCUGAUCAAGAAGUAUUGGGAGUGAGCUUCACAUCACUGAGAAAAAACAAAAAACAAACCAAAAAACAACAGAAAACUAUCAGGAGAAAGUCAAGUCUGAACUGAGAUCCAUAUGCAUUACUGUCCUGCAAUUUUUGGAUAACUAUUUACUAUCCAAUGCAACUAAUCUAGCGAGUACGAUCUUUUAUCAAAAAUAAAGGGAGAUUACUUCCAGUACCUUCGUUGCACGUGGUGAUGGUUGAAACAAAUGAUAGAUAAUUCCCAAAGAGCUUCCUAAGAGGCAUUUGAUAUAGUAAAGAGAUGUAAUCCAUAUACAUGUCUUAACAUUUCUGUACUUUACUAUGAGAUCCUUAAUAACCCAGAGCUUGCCUGCGAACUGACUAAAACCACUUUUGAUGAGGCCAUAGAAGAACUUGAUACACUGAGUGAAGAUUCAAAGACAGCACCCUUAUCAUGCAGUUGCUUAUAGAGACAACCUAACAUUAUGGCCAUUAGACAGUGCAAGAGAAAAAUGUGAUGUGGCAGCCAAGAGACAGAAAAGUAAAUGCAUACAAGGCGUAAUCUUUCUUCCCUUCAAGAAACUUUUGUACACAUCUCCAUUGCCUUUUCCACUUGGAUUUCCUGUAGCAAAGAAACCCAUUCAUGAUGGCUGGGCGCGGUGGCUCACGCCUAUAAUCCCAGCACUUUGGGAGGCUGAGGCAGGCCGAUCACGAGGUCAGGAGUUUGAGACCAGCCUGGCCAACAUGGUGAAACCCCGUCUCUUCUAAAACUACAAAAAUUAGCUGGGUGCGGUGGCAGGCACCUGUAAUCCCAGCUGCUCGGUAGGCUGAGGCAGGAGAAUCGCUUGAACCAAGGCAGCAGAGGUUACAGUGAGCUGAGAUCACGCCACUGCACUCCAGCCUGGGCGACAGAGUGAGACUCUAUCUCAAAAAAAAAAAAAAAAAAGAAAUUCAUUCAUGCGUAUGGGAUCAACCCAUUUACAGUCUUUUCACAAUGCAGCUUUGGGAAAAUUCCAUUUCUUUCGUUUGUCCUGGCCCUCCUGGUGUACAGUUACUGCUAUAGAAAAGUAUUACUGGCUUCAUUUCAUAUAAAAUAUUAGUAACUUCCACUUAUAUAGUGGACUAAAAAUGUACUUGAUAUUUAAGUAAUCUGAACUAAUUCUGCAAGCAAUUAUGUUUUGUACUCCCCUAAAGAUCUGAAAAUACAGUUAAUUACAAUUCGAGAGUAUUCCCUAUGUAACUUCUUGAUUUCUUUAUUCCCUCCCUUACUCUUCUUCAAGGGUUUCCUUUCGGUAUGGAACUUUUCUGGCCUGGGGGGAAAUUGAAAUGUCUCCUAUAUAAUAGUUUAUGGAGGUCACGUAUAUCCAUAACAACAAGGUUUUCAUUUGCUACUGUUUAAGUUGACAACUUCCCUUCCC